GCGGGGGUGCCCGAGCCAGGUUAAAGGGGGCGGACACGCGAUCCGCUGGCGCUGGCCUUCCCGGGUUCAAAUCCCGGCCCCCGCACCA
rnacentral:tRNA from 1 species